UAUCGGAGCAGAACAACAGGGAUUCCCCUAGUAACGGCGAGUGAAGCGGGAACGGCUCAAAUUUGAAAUCUGGCCUUAGGGCCCGAGUUGUAAUUUGCAGAGGAUGCUUCGGGCGCGGUGCCUUCCGAGUGCCCUGGAACGGGACGCCUGAGAGGGUGAGAGCCCCGUACGGUUGGCCGCCCAGCCCGUGUGAAGCUCCCUCGACGAGUCGAGUAGUUUGGGAAUGCUGCUCUAAGCGGGAGGUAUAUUUCUUCUAAAGCUAAAUACCGGCCAGAGACCGAUAGCGCACAAGUAGAGUGAUCGAAAGAUGAAAAGCACUUUGAAAAGAGGGUUAAACAGCACGUGAAAUUGUUGAAAGGGAAGGGUUUAUGACCAGACGUUUUCCAGGGGGAUCACCCGGCGUUCUCGCCGGUGCACUUCCCCUGGUCUAGGCCAGCAUCGGUUCCCGCGGGGGGAGAAAAGCGCCGGGAACGUGGCUCUCUUCGGGGAGUGUUAUAGCCCGGCGUGGAAUGCCCUCGGGGGGACCGAGGUUCGCGCUCUGCAAGGAUGCUGGCGUAAUGGUGAUCAACCACCCGUCUUGAAACACGGACCAAGGAGUCGAACAUUGGUGCGAGUGUUUGGGUGCCAAACCCUCACGCGGAAUGAAAGUGAACGGAGGUGAGAGCCCGUGCGGGUGCAUCAUCGACCGAUCCUGAUGUCUUCGGAUGGAUUUGAGUAGGAGCAUCACUGUUCGGACCCGAAAGAUGGUGAACUAUGCGUGGAUAGGGUGAAGCCAGAGGAAACUCUGGUGGAGGCUCGCAGCGGUUCUGACGUGCAAAUCGAUCGUCAAAUCUGCGCAUGGGGGCGAAAGACUAAUCGAACCAUUGACCAGCCGUCUAGGUGGUUCAGAGGGGGCCCGCGAGGGCGUCGAGGCCUAGGCCUGCGCGGAGUAUGGUACCCUGUACUCUUUUGGUGCCAGGGAGCUUUUGGGUGCCCUAGAGGGUGCUGCGCGCUGGCCGACACCGCUAAAUUGCGGGGACCUCCCAGAAGGCCCCAGGCUACCGCCGGGCGCUGAAAAGCGUGCCGGCACCGAAGGAUAGUUGCCCUUCGGGGUAUGGUA
rnacentral:rRNA from 2 species